ensembl:miRNA Gm27656 predicted gene, 27656
GUUACGGAUGGUUAUGAGCCACCAUGUGGUUGCUGGGAAUUGAACUCAGGACCUUUGGAAGAGCAGUCAGUGCUCUUAACUGCUGAGCC